rnacentral:lncRNA from 1 species
UGGACAUAUCAUAAUGUAUAAAAUUAUUCAAGAGAGUUUUAUAAACUUUAACCAACAACAAUUUAAACAUUGUUAAAGAAAUAUAUAAUUUCAUCAUAUUCUUUUGAGGGUUAUUUUUGUGUCCAGUUUCAUUAUGGCUCAUAACCAUGAUAAUAGAACAGGAAUAGAGUAUCAGAUAUUGCAUGUCCAUUUUCAUAAUUAUGACUAUACAAAAUUAAAGAACUUAAAGUUUGAUUUAAAAUUAAUCCAAUAUUUCAUACAUUUUGCACUUUGUGUAAAAUGAGUAUUAACUCCCCAAUUCAAGUAGCCAUAAUGUUAAAUCUAAGCUUUAAU